GCCCUCUUGGUGGAAUGGUUAAGACACACUAGAUUUAGGCUCUAGGCAUUGUAGGUUCGACUCCUACAGGGGGUA
rnacentral:tRNA from 1 species